CUCCCGAGCUGGAAUGCUGGGAGCGCGAAAGCUCCGGCGCUGUUGGAUGUGGCUGCGGCCGAUUAGGUAGACGGUGGGGUAACGGCCCACCGUGCCUAUAAUCGGUACGGGUUGUGAGAGCAAGAACCCGGAGACGGACUCUGAGACAAGAGUCCGGGCCCUACGGGGCGCAGCAGGCGCGAAACCUUUACACUGUACGCAAGUACGAUAGGGGGACACCGAGUGCGAGGGCAUAGAGCCCUCGCUUUUGUACACCGUAAGGUGGUGCACGAAUAAGGGCUGGGCAAGACCGGUGCCAGCCGCCGCGGUAACACCGGCAGCCCAAGUGAUGGCCGCUAUUAUUGGGCCUAAAGCGUCCGUAGCUGGCCGUUCAGGUCCGUCGGGAAAUCCACUGGCUUAACCAGUGGGCGUCCGGCGGAAACCGUUCGGCUUGGAACAGGGAGACCAAAGGGGUACGUCUGGGGUAGGAGUGAAAUCCCGUAAUCCUGGACGGACCAUCGGUGGCGAAAGCGCCUUUGGAGAACUGAUUCGACAGUGAGGGACGAAAGCUGGGGUCUCGAACCGGAUUAGAUACCCGGGUAGUCCCAGCCGUAAACGAUGCUCGCUAGGUGUGUCGCAGGCUACGAGCCUGCGAUGUGCCGUAGGGAAGCCGAGAAGCGA
rnacentral:rRNA from 1 species